UACGUAGGGUGCAAGCGUUAAUCGGAAUUACUGGGCGUAAAGCGUGCGCAGGCGGUGAUGUAAGACAGAUGUGAAAUUCCCGGGCUCAACCUGGGAACUGCAUUUGUGACUGCAUCGCUGGAGUGCGGCAGAGGGGGAUGGAAUUCCGCGUGUAGCAGUGAAAUGCGUAGAUAUGCGGAGGAACACCGAUGGCGAAGGCAAUCCCCUGGGCCUGCACUGACGCUCAUGCACGAAAGCGUGGGGAGCAAACAGG
rnacentral:rRNA from 1 species